rnacentral:lncRNA from 1 species
AAUUUGUAUUGUCACAGAAAAUUCCCUUGGACAGUACUAACCUAGAGGCUUGAUCCAAUUUGGUCUUUCCAAGGAGCUCUGGUUCCUUUUAGUAGGAAAUGGUGUUAGAGACACAAUUCGAGGUGCUGGGUGCUCAUUGCUUGGGUUGGUCAUUGUUUCUAGGCCUUUCCAUGGACAGAACUAGGGUUUUGUUUUUUUUAAAGAUAAACUGUUGUGCGUUCAUGCUAAUACUUCACAUUCAGGCCUACAGCAAUUUUAAGAUUAAGAAUCUAGAUGUGUAAGACUGAUUUCAUCAAUCUUACACGUCUAGAUUCUCAAUCCUUUUUUUUUUGAGACAGAGUCUCAUUCUGUCGCCCAGGCUAGCGUAAUCUGUGCUCACUGCAACCUCUGCCUCCCAGGUUCUAAGUGAUUCUCCUGUCUCACUCACCUGAGUAGCUGGGAUUACAGGUGUGUGCCACCACGCCCAGCUGUUUUUGUAUUUUUAGUAGAGAUGGAGUUUCACCAUGUUGACCAGGAUGGUCUCGAACUCCUGACCUCAGGUGGUCCACCUGCCUCAGCCUCCCAAAGUGCUGGGAUUACAGGCGUGAGCCACGUGCCUGGCCUAGAUUCUCAAUCUUAAAAUCCAGGUUGUCUUUGAAGACAAUCAGACACCAACAAAGAAAAAAAAAUAAAUAUCCAGGUUCCCAACUACACUGGCACAGUUAUUCAUUUGCUUUGUCUCACAGUCCCAGGAUAACAAUUGCAAAGCGAAUGGCUUAAUGCAUAUGCAGUUUUUCUAAAGAGUUCAUGC